rnacentral:rRNA from 1 species
UACGUGAGGGGGCAAGCGUUGUCCGGAAUCAUUGGGCGUAAAGAGCGUGUAGGCGGCCCGGUAAGUCCGCUGUGAAAGUCCAGGGCUCAACCCUGGGAUGCCGGUGGAUACUGUCGGGCUCGAGUCCGGAAGAGGAGUGUGGAAUUCCUGGUGUAGCGGUGAAAUGCGCAGAUAUCAGGAGGAACACCAAUGGCGAAGGCAGCACUCUGGGACGUGACUGACGCUGAGACGCGAAAGCGUGGGGAGCAAACAGG